CUGACAGUAACUCGGGUGUUAAAACGUUUUUCACAGUCAUUACUUCCCCCAUUUGGGUACCAGUAGCAGCAGCUGCAGGUGUCGUAGCUGCCCCUUUUACUGCUGUCUCAGAUUCUGCUGACGAAAAGAAUGCAGCGAAAGCAGUAGGGAGUUAUCCAGGAAAUUUAGUUGGAAAUGUUGUAACUAAUCCAUUUAAAGCAAUUGGCGAAGUUGGAAAAAUGUUGUCAGGAAAUGAUAAGAAAUAGAGGUGUCAAGUAAGAAGAAUAUAAAAGUCGUGAAGAAAUACAGGAGAAUUAAACAACAAUUGAACAAUUUAUGAUUCAAUAUCUAUUGAUGAACAUGGCCUUAUUACGUACACAAAUAUACUGUAAUUUACUUUUGGAAUUCAAUACAAUGAUAGCAUUUAA